UAUAGCUGCAAAAUAUUACUUAUUAGUGUAAGAACAGAACCAGACAGGAGACAAUGGUAGAUGAAACAUACAGAGAAUGGUAUUAAGAUAAAUGAAAGACUUGACAUCUUUCUAUUGUAUUUUGCAGAUUUUAAUGGACCACAUGGAGAAAAAGGGAAUCACAUAUCUCAGCAAUGACUGGAAAUUGAUGGUCAGGAAUUUCUGGGGGGAAAAAACAGAUGGUGCAUCGAUGGACAGCCUUCCAAGAUGAAGGGGUGGUGUUUGGUAUAGAUCAGUGGUUCUCAAACCUUUUUGCUUGAGUAAGAAUUUGUCUCUCCAGGUAUCACCUAAUGACUAGCAUUGAAAUAUAGUAGCAUAGUAGGCCUAAUUAAUCAGCUACAGCUCUGCACAGAUCAAAACAAGGCACAUUUAUUCCUAAAAUAAUGUCAGCUACUUAAAACAUAAAUAGUUUAAAUAUUAACACUGUACUGUGCUUACAUUUAUAUAAAAAUGUCUUUAAGUUCAUUCAAAUCUGUACUGUUCGUAAAAAGUAAAUAAUAAAUAAAUAAAAUGCUAAAGGUUAAGUAUUACCAUAUAGUAGCCCAUAUUCAUCGAAACCUGGAAAUGUAGAUCAGACCUCAUAAAUGAAUUCGUCAUUAUAUUCAUAUCACAUAGAAACCAUAUGGGGGAGACCGGGGAUAGUUGUACUUCUAUUAUAUUUCUCUAUAUAUCUUUGAGAUCUCGAGUGUCUGCUAUUAAAUGGUAAAUAAGUUAUUUUUGCAGCAAAAACAGAAAAUGUGAACACUUCUUAGUUUUAAACAGGAGUGAAAUGUCACCAUUCAGCGCACAGUCUGGGUUAGUUGUAACACACCCCAUGGUGAGAUGUAAAUGAUGAUUUCCACUAGGGUGAGAUGAAACAUUAUAAAAUAAGAAUUAUGACCAAAAAUGAUUUGAAAACUUUUUAUUUAACAUUGAGCUUUCAGUAUCAUUGUGUGUGUGUGUGUCUGUGUUACAAAGCUGAAUAAAAUGUGCAAAUGUGCAUCAGCUUCAACUGUUGAACACUAUUUGUGUGUGCAGGCUUAAUGAGCCCACAAAGGUCAAACACUGAACUCAAACUACUUUGACUUCUUUCUCUUUUCAAGAGCAAGAGGGGUACUGAAAUUACAUCAGAUAAAUACAGUUUAAAUCUGCUUGGGGUUGGUGGAGACAUUUCACUGAUGUUAUUAGCAAGAGUUUUGUUGUUACAGCUGACCCAGCGUCUUAUACUCAUGAAUCUAUUCUCCUUACAGCUAAAACAUUAUCACCAACAAUGUGGAUUAAAUAUAUCCACACACAGACACACACAUUACAUGAGUUUAACUACAAAUCAGGCUGUGCUAUCUCAAAAAUAAUUCACGUAAGAAAUAUUAAUUUCUUAGCUCAAAUGUAGUCUCUGUGUCUGUCCCGGGACGCUACAUUUUCAUGUGCUAUGAAGGCCAAAAAGAGUCUGCGCAAUGUGAAUCAACCGAUUUGUAGCUAGUUUAUGGUUGUAGAGAUUGGAAGUGUUACAACUAUCCCUGCUCUUCCCUUAAAAUCUAAACAUGAACUUGUGUUUUAAAUAUGUGUAUGUGUCAGAAAGUCAAUGAGUGAUAAUAAAUGCACUUUUUGACCAGUUCAUAUGCGAUUUAUCAAUUCAAUUUGUGCAGCAUUUACCUGAUUUGGUGGAAUUGAGAUCAUAUCUUCAGUAAACCGUGGAGUUUGCUUAAAUCAGACCACUGUUUUCAGGCCGACUCAUGUAAGGUUCACGGGUGCUCUGUCUGUGCACACAGAGACUAACUUUAAUUUUUCUAUUUCUCCAAGCUUUAAACAUUGCAAAUUUGUCUAUGUUCUGCGGCCCGCACCAUUUUUAUUACAUCCUGAUUUAUUUAAAUCUGAGAUACAAACUAAAUCGAAGGCUACACUGGUUAUUUACAAAACAAAUGACUUUAGGCUACUGUGUAUAUUGAGAUCACAUUAUUUUACACAACUACGAACACGCGUCAACAUGUUAACAAUGAUGCAGAGUUUGCAGUAACUGAAAUGCCAGCAGGACUGGUCUGCAAAAGCACUUCUCUGUAGCGUGUAUCUGCUCGAGAGCUCCAGUCUUUUAGAUUCUUAGCAUCUGAUGAUGUGAUGCACUAAACGUACUAAUCACAAUGGUGUGAUCAUACAAUGCAGAUCACAUCGGUGUUAUUGUGCACAUCAAAGGGUAACAGAGUGUUUAUAAAUUCUUAAUUGUUAAUUAGUGAUUUCUCCCCGUACCACUGGCUGUUUCUGUUUUUUUUUUUUUUUUUGCAGACUGAAGUGGAGCAGAAAAAAGAGACUCACAGGGGGAAGCAGUGGAGAUAUACUGGAAGACCUGGAGCUCAGCUAACAGACUGGCAUGGAGCAUGUGGAGAAACAAGGAAACAGACCUCAGUAAUGACAAGUACAUGAAAUAAAUGAGAGUGAGUGUCACAGAAGGGACGGGAUUCAGGGCAGUAAUAUACACAAUGUUUAUUUACAGUAUGGCAGGUAAGUAUAAGCAGGUGAGUAUAUUGAUGCAGAUGAGAAGUUCAUGAACAUAAACUUGAUAUUUGACUGUGCAGUCUUGGAGACUGGAGACGGAUACCACAGAUGACAAACAGGAUGAAGAACAGACGAGGAACCAGGAGAUAUCACACUAGGAGAGACAUGAGGUUGGAGUGGAGCAGAAGAAGGAGACUCACAAGGGGAACGGUGGAGAUAUACUUGGAGACCUGAAGCUCAGGAAGCAGAUUGGCAUGGAGCAUGUGGAGGAACAGGGAAACACAAGAUUAUGUGCAUGGAUGGAUGUCCUUCCUAGAGGAAGGGGGUGGUGGUGGGCAAAGAUUGUUAGAUAGAUGUCUUGUCUGUGGCAGUUAUUUACAUUCUAGGUAAUGGAACCACAACAGACAGAAGUGCAAUGGUGAAUAUUUCUCUUUUAGAGCUCUUUUAGUCUUGUUUUCUUUCUUUUGCAGAUUAGACUGGGGCAUGUGGAGAAAUUACAAUCCCACCUCAGCGAUGACUGCAAACUGAUGGUCUGGUUAGAUGUUUCCUAAAUAGAUGGAUGAAUGAAAUAUAGAUGUCCUUCCAAGAGGAAGGGGGUGGUGGUGGGCUUAGAUAGUUAGCUAGAUGUCUUGUCUGUGGCAGGUGUUUCUUUUUCAAGUAAUGAACACACAACAGGCA